rnacentral:misc_RNA from 1 species
GAUAAGAACGUAGCGAAAUGCGAUACGUAGUGUGAAUUGCAGAAUUCAGUGAAUCAUCGAAUCUUUGAACGCACAUUGCACCUCUCGGUAUUCCGGGAGGUAUGCCUGUUCGAGCGUCAUUUGUACCCUCAAGCUCUGCUUGGUGUUGGGUGUUUGUUCCGCCUCUGUGUGUGAACUCGCCUCAAAACAAUUGGCAGCCGGCGUACUUGUUUCGGAGCGCAGCACAUUUUGCGAUCCAGAUCAACGUACAGCGGCAUCCAAGAAGCCUUAUUUAACGCUCUUGACCUCGGAUCAGGUAGGGAUGCCCGCUGAACUUAAGCAUAUCAAUAAGCGGAGGA